rnacentral:rRNA from 1 species
GAUGAACGCUAGCGACAGGCUUAACACAUGCAAGUCGAGGGGCAGCGGGGUAGUGCUUGCACUACUGCCGGCGACCGGCGCACGGGUGAGUAACACGUAUGGAACCUGCCCGCAGCAGGGGGAUAAGCGGAAGAAAUUCCGUCUAAUACCGCGUAACAACGUUGGGAGGCAUCUCCCGAUGUUUAAAGAUUUAUCGGCUGCGGAUGGCCAUGCGGCGCAUUAGCUAGUCGGCGGGGUAACGGCCCACCGAGGCGACGAUGCGUAGGGGUUCUGAGAGGAAGGUCCCCCACAUUGGAACUGAGACACGGUCCAA